UGCCUUUGUGUUGCCCAUUUGCUUUAUAAGUAGUGAAUGUGGUGUCAGAAAAGGCAGAAAAUAAUCCCACCGUGGCCUACCACACUUUAGGAUGAUCCCCUCCUUCGGUGUAUGGCUGUGCUGGAAUAAUC